rnacentral:rRNA from 1 species
UACGUAGGCAGCAAGCGUUGUUCGGAGUUACUGGGCGUAAAGGGUGCGUAGGCGGUUGUUUAAGUUUGGUGUGAAAUCUCCCGGCUCAACUGGGAGGGUGCGCCGAAUACUGAAUGACUAGAGUGCGGGAGAGGAGAGUGGAAUUCCUGGUGUAGCGGUGAAAUGCGUAGGAUAUCAGGAGGAACACCGGUGGUGUAGACGGCUCUCUGGACCGUAACUGACGCUGAGGCACGAAAGCGUGGGUAGCAAACAGG